rnacentral:rRNA from 1 species
AGAACGAACGCUGGCGGCAGGCUUAACACAUGCAAGUCGAACGGUUGUAGCAAUACAGCAGUGGCAGACGGGUGAGUAACACGUGGGAACCUUCCUAGGGGUACGGAACAACUCAGGGAAACUUGAGCUAAUACCGUAUACGUCCGUGAGGAGAAAGAUUUAUCGCCCCUAGACGGGCCCGCGUAGGAUUAGGUAGUUGGUGAGGUAACGGCUCACCAAGCCUACGAUCCUUAGCUGAUCUGAGAGGAUGAUCAGCCACACUGGGACUGAGACACGGCCCAGACUCCUACGGGAGCAGCAGUGGGGAAUCUUGGACAAUGGGCGCAAGCCUGAUCCAGCCAUGCCGCGUGAGUGAAGAAGGCCUUCGGGUUGUAAGCUCUUUACCAGGGACGAUAAUGACGGUACCUGGAGAAUAAGCCCGGCAACUCGUGCCAGCAGCCGAC